rnacentral:miRNA from 1 species
GUGUGUGCGCGUGUGUGUGUGUGUGUGUAUAUAUAUAUAUAUAUAUAUAUUAUGUUUAUAUAUAUAUAUAUAUAUACACACACACACACAUAUGU